AAGUGCGAAUGCUGACAUAAGUAACGAUAAAACGAGUGAAAAACUCGUUCGCCGGAAGACCAAGGGUUCCUGUCCAACGUUAAUCGGGGCAGGGUGAGUCGGCCCCUAAGGCGAGGCUGAAAAGCGUAGUCGAUGGGAAACGGGUUAAUAUUCCCGUACUUGGUAAAGCUGCGAUGUGGGGACGGAGAAGGUUAGGUUAGCAGACUGUUGGAUGUCUGUUUAAGUUGGUAGGUGGGGAGUUUAGGCAAAUCCGGACUUCCAUAACACUGAGAGAUGAUGACGAGUUUCUACGGAAAUGAAGUAACUGAUACCACGCUUCCAGGAAAAGCCACUAAGCGAAAGGCUUUACUAAACCGUACUGAAAACCGACACAGGUGGUCAGGUAGAGAAUACUCAGGCGCUUGAGAGAACUCGGGUGAAGGAACUAGGCAAAAUAGCACCGUAACUUCGGGAGAAGGUGUGCUGGCGUAGGUUGUAAGAGUAUACCUCCGAAGGCUGAACCAGUCGAAGAUACCAGCUGGCUGCAACUGUUUAUUAAAAACACAGCACUCUGCAAACACGAAAGUGGACGUAUAGGGUGUGAUGCCUGCCCGGUGCUGGAAGGUUAAUUGAUGGUGUUAUCGAAAGAGAAGCUCCUGAUCGAAGCCCCAGUAAACGGCGGCCGUAACUAUAACGGUCCUAAGGUAGCGAAAUUCCUUGUCGGGUAAGUUCCGACCUGCACGAAUGGCAUAAUGAUGGCCAGGCUGUCUCCACCCGAGACUCAGUGAAAUUGAAAUCGCCGUGAAGAUGCGGUGUACCCGCGGCUAGACGGAAAGACCCCGUGAACCUUUACUAUAGCUUGACACUGAACAUUGAAUUUUGAUGUGUAGGAUAGGUGGGAGACUUAGAAGCAGGCACGCCAGUGCUUGUGGAGUCGUCCUUGAAAUACCACCCUUUAACGUUUGAUGUUCUAACGAAGAUUACGAAACGUGGUCUCGGACAGUGUCUGGUGGGUAGUUUGACUGGGGCGGUCUCCUCCCAAAGUGUAACGGAGGAGCACGAAGGUUUGCUAAUCACGGUCGGACAUCGUGAGGUUAGUGCAAUGGUAUAAGCAAGCUUAACUGCGAGACAGACAAGUCGAGCAGGUGCGAAAGCAGGUCAUAGUGAUCCGGUGGUUCUGAAUGGAAGGGCCAUCGCUCAACGGAUAAAAGGUACUCCGGGGAUAACAGGCUGAUACCGCCCAAGAGUUCAUAUCGACGGCGGUGUUUGGCACCUCGAUGUCGGCUCAUCACAUCCUGGGGCUGAAGUAGGUCCCAAGGGUAUGGCUGUUCGCCAUUUAAAGUGGUACGCGAGCUGGGUUUAGAACGUCGUGAGACAGUUCGGUCCCUAUCUGCCGUGGGCGUUGGAGAAUUGAGAGGGGCUGCUCCUAGUACGAGAGGACCGGAGUGGACGCAUCACUGGUGUACCAGUUGUCUCGCCAGAGGCAUUGCUGGGUAGCUAAAUGCGGAAGAGAUAAGUGCUGAAAGCAUCUAAGCACGAAACUCGCCUUAAGAUGAGUUCUCCCUAGCUAUAAGCUAGUAAGGGUUGUUGAAGACUACGACGUAGAUAGGUCUGGUGUGUAAGCGGUGUGAGCCGUUGAGCUAACAGAUACUAAUUGCCCGAGAGGCUUAACUAUACAACCUCAAGCGUU
rnacentral:rRNA from 1 species